rnacentral:tRNA from 1 species
GGGGCUGUAGCUCAACUGGGAGAGCGCUUGUAUGGCAUGCAAGAGGUUGGCGGCUCGAUCCCGCUUGGCGCCA